GCCCCUGUAGCCUAAUGGAUAAGGCAUC
rnacentral:sRNA from 1 species